rnacentral:rRNA from 1 species
GGAAUAUUGGACAAUGGGCGAAAGCCUGAUCCAGCAAUGCCGCGUGAGUGAUGAAGGCCUUAGGGUUGUAAAGCUCUUUUACCAGGGAUGAUAAUGACAGUACCUGGAGAAUAAGCUCCGGCUAACUCCGUGCCAGCAGCCGCGGUAAUACGGAGGGAGCUAGCGUUGUUCGGAAUUACUGGGCGUAAAGCGUACGUAGGCGGUUAUUCAAGUCAGAGGUGAAAGCCUGGAGCUCAACUCCAGAACUGCCUUUGAAACUAGAUAGCUAGAAUCUUGGAGAGGUGAGUGGAAUUCCGAGUGUAGAGGUGAAAUUCGUAGAUAUCAGGAGGAACACCAAUGGCGAAGGCAGGUCUCUGGGCCAAUACUGACACUGAGGAGCGAAAGUCUGGGGAGCGAACAGGAUUAGAUACCCUGGUAGUCCAGACCGUAAACGGUGGGCACUAGUUGUGGGAACCUUCCACGGUUUCUGCGACGCAGCUAACGCAUUAAGUGCCCCGCCUGGGGAGUACGAUCGCAAGAUUAAAACUCAAAGGAAUUGACGG